rnacentral:misc_RNA from 1 species
AAGUCGUAACAAGGUCUCCGUUGGUGAACCAGCGGAGGGAUCAUUAAAGAGUAGUUUUUACAACAACUCCAAACCCAUGUGAACUUACCUAUGUUGCCUCGGCGGGGAAACUACCCGGUAGCUACCCUGUAGUUACCCUGUAAGGACUACCCGUCGACGGACAAUUAAACUCUGUUUUUCUAUGAAACUUCUGAGUGUUUUAACUUAAUAAAUUAAAACUUUCAACAACGGAUCUCUUGGUUCUG